GACGAACGCUGGCGGCGUGCCUAAUACAUGCAAGUUGAGCGAUGAAGCUUGGUGCUUGCCCCAAUUUGAAGAGCAGCGAACGGGUGAGUAACGCGUGGGGAAUCUGCCUUUGAGCGGGGGACAACAUUUGGAAACGAAUGCUAAUACCGCAUAACAACUUUAAACAUAAGUUUUAAGUUUGAAAGAUGCAAUUGCAUCACUCAAAGAUGAUCCCGCGUUGUAUUAGCUAGUUGGUGAGGUAAAGGCUCACCAAGGCGAUGAUACAUAGCCGACCUGAGAGGGUGAUCGGCCACAUUGGGACUGAGACACGGCCCAAACUCCUACGGGAGGCAGCAGUAGGGAAUCUUCGGCAAUGGACGAAAGUCUGGCCGAGCAACGCCGCGUGAGUGAAGAAGGUUGUCGGAUCGUAAAACUCUGUUGGUAGAGAAGAACGUUGGUGAGAGUGGAAAGCUCAUCAAGUGACGGUAACUACCCAGAAAGGGACGGCUAACUACGUG
rnacentral:rRNA from 1 species